GAGUGAUACAAAAACCUCUGUCAGUCAGACUGCACAGUGACUGCACUCAUACACCUGACAGAUACUGCAGAUGAUCAUACAACACAAUAACACACAACACUGAUCACACAAAUAACACAACAUCAUCUUAUGAUCAACAGAAAUGAUGCUAAGGUUUAUACAGGUAUGUAUUUUUGAUAAGAUAAACACAGAUUAUUUUAACAUCCAUCUGUUCAUACUGCUUAUUCAUCAAACCAUAUGCAGACUCCUCAACUUCAAAUGAGAAUAAAGAGAGGAAAUUAUUUUUUACUAAAUCAGUUUAUUCCAAUGGAAAGAAAACUUUAUAUUUUGUUAUGAAUUGGCUAGCACAACCCAUAACAAAUAUUAAAUGUUUAUGAGAAUUAUAAAAUGGUAUGUAAAUAACUUCAUAACUGAUUAAUGCCUUCAUUUAAGAGAAGUGAAACUGGUUUGUUUCAGUUCAGAUGAUUUAACAAUCAAACAGUGACACUGGGAGUGUGAAGUGAAAAUCACAUUUACAUUGUCAGGAUGAAGAGACUCAGAAUAGAUCAGCUCUGUCUCCAGAGAUCAUCUUCACAUCACAAGAGAGGGAUUUUUCAUUUACUGAACCUUUUCAUCAACUAUUAAAACUAUUGAAGAUCAUAAUACAGGACAAUCCUGCACAAAUAUACUGAUGUCAUUUUCAUUAAUGAAGCUGUUAGACACAAAUGUAAAGUUUCAGAAGAUUUAUUGACUGUUUCAGCAAACACAACACAUUGAACGAUGUAACAGUGAUAUGACACUUGAGCUCUUUCAGUAUUAUUGAGUCUUAAAUGACUAAAGGUGCAGUACAGUUUCGUGUUCCUGUAGCUCAUCUGGUAAAGCAUUGUGAUAGCAGCCCAGAAGGUCAUGGGUCCAAGGAACACAAAUACUGAUAAUAUGAAUAUCUUAAAUGCAACUCGAUUUAUAUAAAAGCAUCUAUCUACCUGUAAUAUUUGCAAAAUGUUCCCCUAAAUUUAUAAUGUUGCAUACUCUGGCCUACACUAUCUGUUGCAAAUCAGCUUUUCCAAAAGAUAAUUUACAAGAGAAACUACUAGACCAGACUAUGUGCAAGGUGAGAGAAUAGUUGUCUAGUUUUAAUGUGUGUUAACAGACUAUUGUAUAGAGUUCAAGCUGAAUCACAGAGGAGAAAAUGUUGGUGUGGCUUGGUUGAUGUUUACUGCACGGGGAUCAGACAGGAGCAGUUUUAUAGCAGACAAAAGUGUCCACAGUCACAGAGCCUCUGGCGUGGUCUCUGGAUAGGGGUCAUAGCAUAUUUGACACACACUAGUGGAACAGGACAUGCUGGAUCUGAGCAGCGCUCUUCACUUAUUUUGCUGCCAUUUUGUGUUUUUGACCCGACUGCAAGCAAACCUAGAUUUGUUUCAUGAGAGAUGGAAUAACCACCCACUGACAACGGAGCAAAACUUCACACCAAACCAGCUGUGGGAGAUCGGACAGAUGGAAAAUCCCAUUGCCAAAUCAGAGGAGAUGACCAUGCUUGAUAUCAAAAGAGAGGACAGUGGACCUAUUGAAGAUAAAGACAUGGCGAUGAAUGAUCCACAGUUUAAAGGGCCUAUAAGUCCUGAACAUAUGAAGCGGUUAAGACAACAUAUUAAUCCUUUACAACCCUCCAAGUACAAUGGCAUGGACAUUUAUAUGAAUCCAGUUUGUGCAAAAUCUGCAUACUGAAAAGUAGAUCUUGUUGCAUGUACUGUGCUUUUCAUUAUUUUUAAACUGUGUUACUUCUUUACUUAUAGAUGUCAAAUAAGCAACAUAUCUUGUAUAAUCUUUUUUAUUAAGCACAUUACAAUGAACAUUAAGUCCUUAAAUCAGAAUAUUACUGCAUACAAAGCUAGCAAAUGACAAAGUUGCACAAAGUAACUAAAUUUCAUGGAUAAACCCACUGUCUACAGACAGUAGACAUAUCAUCAUGUCUGCUGUUAAAGCUGAGAAAGAUGUGUGACAACAAGUAUGCUUUUUGUUUUGGUUGACUCCACUUGACUCAACAAUUUCCAGGUUAAACUUUGCACAACUUUCCAACGUCUUUAUUGUUAUAAUGAGUUUGAUAAACACUAGUUGUGAUGUUAUGACUUUUACCUGUGAGCAAAUAAAU